GGAUGAGUUGAGCAAUUGGCUGGCUCGGCAGACUGUAAAUCUGUUCCUCUAACGAGGCUUGUAGGUUCAAAUCCUACCACUUCCAC
rnacentral:tRNA from 1 species